GGAUUAGGCAUGCAAGUCGAACGGGACAACAUUUGUAGCAAUACAGAUGUUGUUUAGUGGCGAACGGGUGCGUAACACGUGGGGAAUCUGCCGAGAAGUGGGGGAUAGCUCGCCGAAAGGCGAAUUAAUACCGCAUAUGAUCAGGGAAGACAUCUUUCCGACAUCAAAGCCGGGGCAACCUGGCGCUUCUUGAUGACCCCGCGGCCUAUUAGCUAGUUGGUGAGGUAACGGCCCACCAAGGCGAUGACGGGUAGCUGGUCUGAGAGGACGACCAGUCACACUGGAACUGAGACACGGUCCAGACACCUACGGGUGGCAGCAGUCGAGAAUUUUUCUCAAUGGGGGCAACCCUGAAGGAGCGACGCCGCGUGGAGGAUGAAGGCUUUCGGGUUGUAAACUCCUGUCAUUUGAGAACAAUGCCCCGGAUUUAACUGGUUCGGGGUUGAUAGUAUCAGAAGAGGAAGGGACGGCUAACUCUGUGCCAGCAGCCGCGGUAAUACAGAGGUCCCGAGCGUUGUUCGGAUUCAUUGGGCGUAAAGGGUGCGUAGGUGGCGCCGUAAGUGGGGUGUGAAAUCCCGGGGCUUAACCCCGGGACUGCAUUCCAUACUGCGGUGCUUGAGGACUGGAGAGGAGACUGGAAUUUACGGUGUAGCAGUGAAAUGCGUAGAGAUCGUAAGGAAGACCAGUGGCGAAGGCGGGUCUCUGGACAGUUCCUGACACUGAGGCACGAAGGCCAGGGGAGCAAACGGGAUUAGAUACCCCGGUAGUCCUGGCAGUAAACGGUGCACGUUUGGUGUGGGAGGAUUCGACCCCUUCUGCGCCGGAGCUAACGCGUUAAACGUGCCGCCUGGGGAGUAUGGUCGCAAGGC
rnacentral:rRNA from 1 species